rnacentral:tRNA from 1 species
GUGUAGUUCAGUAGUAGAGUGCUUGCCUGGAAUGCAUGAGACCCUGGGUUCAAUUCCCAGCAC